UGGGGGAUAUUGCACAAUGGGCGAAAGCCUGAUGCAGCGACGCCGCGUGGGGGAUGAAGGCUUUCGGGUUGUAAACCUCUUUCGCUAUCGAACAAGGCCCGCUUAGGGUGGGUUGAGGGUAGGUGGAGAAGAAGCGCCGGCUAACUACGUGCCAGCAGCCGCGGUAAUACGUAGGGCGCGAGCGUUGUCCGGAAUUAUUGGGCGUAAAGGGCUUGUAGGCGGCUUGUUGCGCCUGCUGUGAAAACGCGGGGCUUAACUUCGCGCGUGCAGUGGGUACGGGCAGGCUUGAGUGUGGUAGGGGUGACUGGAAUUCCAGGUGUAGCGGUGGAAUGCGCAGAUAUCUGGAGGAACACCGAUGGCGAAGGCAGGUCACUGGGCCAUUACUGACACUGAGGAGCGAAAGCAUGGGUAGCGAACAGG
rnacentral:rRNA from 1 species